UUCUAGUGGAUACUGCAGUCCCACUGAUCCAUACGCACCUCACCUAACAGUUAUUGAUGAGCAUAGACCAAUGAGUGGACAACACCUUGUCCAUUGCUUCACUAAGCAAGAUACAGUGGGUUUGGUCUCUAAGUCCUGUGGCUUCACCUAAUAGUUAUUGACACAUUUCUUAGUUAAAUCAGAUUCAUCAUUCAUUAGUGGACGUAAAGCCAUCAUUGAAACCUUCACCUUAUAAUUAUUGAGCCCAACCCCAUCUCUAACCCA
rnacentral:lncRNA from 1 species